rnacentral:rRNA from 1 species
UACGUAGGGUGCAAGCGUUGUCCGGAAUUAUUGGGCGUAAAGGGCUCGUAGGCGGUCUGUCACGUCGGGAGUGAAAACUCAGGGCUUAACCCUGAGCCUGCUUCCGAUACGGGCAGACUAGAGGUAUGCAGGGGAGAACGGAAUUCCUGGUGUAGCGGUGAAAUGCGCAGAUAUCAGGAGGAACACCGGUGGCGAAGGCGGUUCUCUGGGCAGUGGCUGACGCUGAAGCGCGACAGCGUGGGGAGCAAACAGG